CAGCUCACACACUCAUGUUUUCUUUGAACUCCUGAAAUAAUUUAAAAUCGGGGUCUGUCCCUCCAGAGCUACACUAGGUAGCAAAUGAGAGAAUAAAUUAGAGCUGCAUGUAACUGCAUGGGUGACGAUCACAGCUAGAAGGCCAAGUUUUAGGUGGAGUUCUACCUGCCCAGACGCACAGAGCUAACCCGGAAGCUUUCGCAGAGGGAGCAGGCAACUCUCCCAGCUUCUUUACCGUGACCAGAAACUGUUCAAAGGCCCCUGGUUUCAUCCUGCCAAGUAUGAAAAAAAGCCGACUCAGAUCACCUUCCAGCAGAACCGAUGGAAUUCUCAGCCAUUAAUACCAACCUCACACUUCCGUCUGCUACCGCGAAGGCCCCAUAUGCCGACUGUACUUCGUAUAUUAUACUGGGACACUGCUCCCCAAGAGUUGGCACCUGCUUUUUUGGAGCUGUAUUUUUCAAGAUUUCCUAUUUCCUGUUUGGAUUUUAGCCACAACUUAUAAAGAUUACGUAUUCCCAAGGCGUAUUAACCCAGGAGUCUCCCAAGUCCAUUGCCAGCAAUAUAAAGAGACUCUGAACUUGCUGAGCCUACAAGUCUAGAUCUGAAGAUAAAGCCUGUCUCCACAUUG